GGGGGGGGGGGGGGGGGGGCGGGGCGCGGGGGGGGGGGGCGGGGGGGCCCGGCGGGGGGCGCGGGCGGCGGACGGGUGGGGAACACGUGAGGAAUCGGCCCGGGGCGUUGGGAGAACUACCGGAAACGGGGGCUAAGACCGGAUACGACACCCGUCGGCAUGGGCUGGUUGUGGCAAGUUGUUUCGGCCAGGGAUGUGCUCGCGGCCUAUCAGCUCGUUGGUGGGGUAAUGGCCUACCAAGGCUUCGACGGGUAGCCGGCCUGAGAGGGUGACCGGCCACACUGGGACUGAGACACGGCCCAGACUCCUACGGGAGGCAGCAGUGGGGAAUAUUGGACAAUGGGCGGAAGCCUGAUCCAGCAACGCCGCGUGAGGGAUGACGGCCUUCGGGUUGUAAACCUCUUUCAGUACCGACGAAGCGCCGAUGAUGGUGGUGACGGUAGGUACAGAAGAAGCACCGGCCAACUACGUG
rnacentral:rRNA from 1 species